AUGAACGCUAGCGACAGGCUUAACACAUGCAAGUCGAGGGGCAGCAUGGUCAGUAGCAAUACCGACUGAUGGCGACCGGCGCACGGGUGAGUAACGCGUAUGCAACCUGCCCUGUACAGGGGGAUAGCCCAUGGAAACGUGGAUUAAUAUCCCAUAGUAAUCAUGAUAGGCAUCUAUUUUGAUUUAAAUCUUCGGAGGUACAGGAUGGGCAUGCGUCCUAUUAGAUAGUUGGCGGGGUAACGGCCCACCAAGUCUUUGAUAGGUAGGGGUUCUGAGAGGAAGGUCCCCCACACUGGUACUGAGACACGGACCAGACUCCUACGGGAGGCAGCAGUGAGGAAUAUUGGUCAAUGGGCGAUAGCCUGAACCAGCCAAGUCGCGUGAGGGAAGACUGCCCUAUGGGUUGUAAACCUCUUUUGUAAGUGGAGAAUAAGCGUUACGUGUAGCGCGAUGACUGUAACUUACGAAUAAGCAUCGGCUAACUCCGUGCCAGCAGCCGCGGUAAUACGGAGGAUGCGAGCGUUAUCCGGAUUUAUUGGGUUUAAAGGGUGCGUAGGCGGCACUAUAAGUUAGUGGUAAAAUUUCCGGGCUUCACCCGGAUUCGCCAUUAAUACUGUAGAGCUCGAGUACAGACGAGGUAGGCGGAAUAAGUUAAGUAGCGGUGAAAUGCAUAGAUAUAACUUAGAACUCCGAUAGCGAAGGCAGCUUACCAGACUGUAACUGACGCUGAUGCACGAGAGCGUGGGUAUCGAACAGGAUUAGAUACCCUGGUAGUCCACGCCGUAAACGAUGCUCACCGGCCCUUAGCGAUAUAGAGUUAGGGGUUAAUCGAAAGAAUUAAGUGAGCCACCUGGGGAGUACGUCGGCAACGAUGAAACUCAAAGGAAUUGACGGGGACCCGCACAAGCGGUGGAGCAUGUGGUUUAAUUCGAAGCAACGCGAAGAACCUUACCAAGUCUUGACAUCCUUCUGACCGGUACUUAACCGUACCUUCUCUUCGGAGCAGGAGUGACAGGUGGUGCAUGGUUGUCGUCAGCUCGUGCCGUGAGGUGUCGGGUUAAGUCCCAUAACGAGCGCAACCCUUAUCACUAGUUGCCAUCAGGUAAUGCUGGGCACUCUAUUGAGACUGCCACCGUAAGGUGAGAGGAAGGGGGGGAUGACGUCAAAUCAGCACGGCCCUUACACCCAGGGCGACACACGUGUUACAAUGGCCGGUACAGAGGGUCGCUACCUGGUGACAGGAUGCUAAUCUCGAAAUCCGGUCGUAGUUCGGAUUGGAGUCUGUAACCCGACUCCAUGAAGUUGGAUUCGCUAGUAAUCGCGCAUCAGCCAUGGCGCGGUGAAUACGUUCCCGGGCCUUGUACACACCGCCCGUCAAGCCAUGGAAGCCGGGAGUACCUGAAGUCCGUAACCGCAAGGAUCGGCCUAAGGUAAUACUGGUAACUGGGGCU
rnacentral:rRNA from 1 species